AGCUUUGCGCAGUGGCAGUAUCGUAGCCAAUGAGGUUUAUCCGAGGCGCAAUUAUUGCUAAUUAAAAGUAGUUAAAUAUGUUUUCAACUUACAAGAACAUUAUGUAGAGCUAAGGAUGUAGC
ensembl:snRNA U4 U4 spliceosomal RNA